rnacentral:rRNA from 1 species
CCUACGUGGUGCAGCAGUGAGGAAUAUUGGUCAAUGGACGAGAGUCUGAACCAGCCAAGUAGCGUGAAGGAUGACUGCCCUAUGGGUUGUAACCUUCUUUUAUAUGGGAAUAAAAUGUUCCACGUGUGGGAUUUUGUAUGUACCAUAUGAAUAAGGAUCGUCUAACUCCGUGCCAGCGGCCGCGGUAAUACGGAGGAUCCGAGCGUUAUCCGGAUUUAUUGGGUUUAAAGGGCGCGUAGGUGGAUUGUUAAGUCAGUUGUGAAAGUUGGCGGCUCAACCGUAAGAUUGCAGUUGAAACUGGCAUUCUUGAGUACAGUAGAGGUGGGCGGAAUUCGUGGUGUAGCGGUGAAAUGCUUAGAUAUCACGAAGAACUCCGAUUGCGAAGGCAGCUCACUGGACUGCAACUGACACUGAGGCUCGAAAGUGUGGGUAUCAAACAGGAUUAGAUACCCGUGUAGUC